GGUGAACGCUGGCGGUAGGCCUAACACAUGCAAGUCGAACGGCAGCACCGUAAGAGCUUGCUCUUACGGGUGGCGAGUGGCGGACGGGUGAGGAAUACAUCGGAAUCUACUUUUUCGUGGGGGAUAACGUAGGGAAACUUACGCUAAUACCGCAUACGACCUACGGGUGAAAGCAGGGGAUCUUCGGACCUUGCGCGAUUGCAUGAGCCGAUGUCGGAUUAGCUAGUUGGCGGGGUAAAGGCCCACCAAGGCGACGAUCCGUAGCUGGUCUGAGAGGAUGAUCAGCCACACUGGAACUGAGACACGGUCCAGACUCCUACGGGAGGCAGCAGUGGGGAAUAUUGGACAAUGGGCGCAAGCCUGAUCCAGCCAUACCGCGUGGGUGAAGAAGGCCUUCGGGUUGUAAAGCCCUUUUGUUGGGAAAGAAAAGCAGCAGGUUAAUACCCCGCUGUUCUGACGGUACCCAAAGAAUAAGCACCGGCUAACUUCGUG
rnacentral:rRNA from 1 species